rnacentral:tRNA from 1 species
GCCUGGUUGGCUCAGUCGGUUAAGCAUAUGACUUUGACUCAUGUCAUGACUUCACAGUUCUUGAGUUCAAUUCUCACAUCAGGUG